UAAAGGAAAUCAUACUUUGAUUUUAAUGAGAAUGCCUCUAACGUUUCAAAGUUACAUUUUUUAAAAAUUUUAUUUAUUUAUUUUUGGCUGCAUUGGGUCUUUUUUGCUGCGCUCAGGCUUUCUCUAGUUGUGGUGAGCGGGGUCUACUCUUCGUUGCAGUGCGCGGGCUUCUCAUUGGGGUGGCUUCUCUUGUUGCGGAGCAUGGGAUCUAGGCAUGCGGGCCUCAGUAGUUGUGGCACGCGGGCUCUAGAGCGCAGGCUCAGUAGUUGUGGCACACGGGCUUAGUUGUUCGGCGGCAUGUGGGGUCUUCCUGGAUCAGGGCUCGAACUCGUGUCUCCUGCAUUGGCAGGCGGAUUCUUAAUCAUUGCACCACCAAGGAAGCCCCCAAGUUACAUACUGACUGUUGGUUUAAAAUAACUUUUUUUUCUUUCUAAGUAUUCGUGGUUAGCAAGGAUCCUUCCACUCUGGGUUUUUAAGACUGUCUUAUGGCAUGCAAUUUUAUCAAAUGCUUAUCCAGGAUCUACUGAGAUCAUUAUAUGGUUUUCUUUAUUUGAUAUGAUGGAUAUCUAAACUUUCUAACAUUAAAAAUGAGACAAACUCUGGAUUUGGUGAAUUAUUUUUUUAAUAUACUAUUGAAUUAGAGUUUUUGUAUUUUUAGUUAGUAUCCUCUCAUCUGCGAUCAUAAGUGGUCUAUAGUAGGGUUUCUUAGCCUUGGAACUAUGGACAUUUUGGGUCAGAUAAUUCUUUGUUGUGGGUGACCAUCUUGUUCCCUGUAGAAUGUUUACAGCAUCCCUGGCCUCUACCCACUAGGUGUCAGUAGGAACCCUCCCUUCACCAAGUUUUGAUAACUGAAAAUGCCUCCAGGCAUUGCCACAUGUCCCCUGAGACACUGAUACACCAGCUUUCUUUCUGUAUAUAUACUGCCUUUGUCAUGUUUUGAUAUUAAGAUCAUGCCAAUCUCAUUUUACCUAACAGAUAGCUAGCUUUCCAUGUCUUCCUACAUUUAGGAAUGAUUUAUAUAGCAUUUGAAUUUGUUGUUUCUUAAAAUCUGAAAUAACUUUCUGAUAAAAUCAUCUGGCUCUAAAGCUUUUUAUUUUAUUUUGUUAUUAUUUUUUUUGCGGUACGCGGGCCUCUCACUGUUGUGGCCUCUCCCGUUGCGUAGCACAAGCUCUGGACGCGCAGGCUCAGCGGCCAUGGCUCACGGGCCCAGCCGCUCUGCGGAAUGUGGGAUCUUUCCAGACCAGGGCAUGAACCCGUGUCCCCUGCAUUGGCAGGCGGACUCUCAACCACUGAGCCACCAGGGAAGCCCUAAAGCUUUUUAGAGAAAAAGUGUGGAACUUUCUGGGAUACUUAUGGGAACUCUGCUGAUAGAAGAAACAAUCUGAUACUGAACUCACAAGAAUUACUUCACCUAAUACGAUAUAUCAAAUUACAAUAACAAUUUCUGGAAGUAUAUGCAAAAUUGCUUCCAUAUAAAAUUGAAACGUUUUACUAAUUUUAAUUAUUGCCUAUAGUAUUAAUAAUGCCCUUGUCAUUAAAACGUUAUUUGUUGAUGAACGAUACAUUCUGGAAUACUGCAUUUCAUAGGACACCUUUACCUGGUAUUGAACAUUCAAAGAGAUCGAUGAACUUGUUCUAUCAGACAUUGUCCACUAGUGUUCUUAACUUGCAACAGUUGUACAGCUUUCUGAUAGAGAAGCUACGCUAGUUGAGGAUAGCUAACUGGCUCCAGGUCACUCUGCUAACAAUUAAAUUGGAGGACAAAGCUGACCUCAAGAGUUAUAUCAUGUAUAACCAUGGUUAACAUUUUGACAUAGAACCCAGGGAGGUUUCACCUGCAAACAAAUACAAAACCAUGGAUGGACUUUGCCACUUGCAAAGAGCUUCUAACAAGAGUGUUAGUGUCCAGUUAAGUGCAUGGACAACAAGGGCAUGCAUUGGGUUGCAUCUGGUAUCCACAAAGCAAAGUGCAUUCUUAAACAUCACUGAGCAGAUGGGAGGGAGAACUAACA